rnacentral:rRNA from 1 species
UACGUAGGGGGCUAGCGUUAUCCGGAAUUACUGGGCGUAAAGGGUGCGUAGGUGGUUUCUUAAGUCAGAGGUGAAAGGCUACGGCUCAACCGUAGUAAGCCUUUGAAUCUGGGAAACUUGAGUGCAGGAGAGGAGAGUGGAAUUCCUAGUGUAGCGGUGAAAUGCGUAGAUAUUAGGAGGAACACCAGUUGCGAAGGCGGCUCUCUGGACUGUAACUGACACUGAGGCACGAAAGCGUGGGGAGCAAACAGG